UUUUUAGACAUGGUUCUUUCCCGAAAGCUACCGAUGGAAAAUGAUGUUGACUUAGAUGCCAUCGCACAUAUGACAGAAGGAUUUAGUGGAGCUGACCUGCAAGCUCCAAGCUCUUCUAUCAGAUGCACAACUUGCGGCAGUUCAUGAACAUCUGAGUGCAGACAGCAGCAAACAUGGGAAAAUGCCAGUCAUAACUGAUGCCUUGUUGAAGUCCAUUGCUUCCAAAGCAAGACCAUCCAUUUCUGAAUCUGAGAAGCGGAGACUAUAUGGUAUUUAUAACCAGUUCUUGGAUUCAAAGAAAUCUGCUGCCGCCCAGUCAAAGGAUGCAAAGGGCAAAAGGGCUACUCUAGCAUGAUGGAUAGCCAGAUACAGCUAGCUAGUCACGUUCAAUGAGGCAGUUGGUGUUGCACUACUUUCCAGUAUUGACAAACAGUUGGUAUGGGAAAAAAAAAAGCCACGAUACUUCCGAAUCAAUUUUAACAGAAGAUCUUACAUUACAUUCCAUUCCAUUUUCUCCAUUGUAGAAAAUUAGAUAUAGAUUUAUUCAUUUUCCAACUCUUUGUAUUUCAAUUGAUGUAUAAUUUUCUAUUAAGAUGGAUAUAACUACUGCUGUAUAGAUACUCUGAAUCAUUUGUAUUAAUCUGAGAUCUGAGAUCAACUUUAAACCAACGAAGUUUGAUAUCAGAUAAAAGUCAUAUGAUCAAAAGAAAUGUUUGAACAUCCCUUUGAAAGAGGUUGAGGUUUAUGAUCGAAACAAAGAAA